AGCAGGAGGAACAAACACGA
rnacentral:misc_RNA from 1 species